rnacentral:rRNA from 1 species
ACGAGACCUUAACCUGCUAAAUAGCCAGGCUCGCUUUGGCGGGUCGCCGGCUUCUUAGAGGGACUAUCGGCUCAAGCCGAUGGAAGUUUGAGGCAAUAACAGGUCAACCUGAUCACAGGCCUGUCAGAGCGGA